CUCAGUAAACCACAAUUUCUUUUAAGUUUGAAAAUAUAAUAUUUAAAUAAAAUCCACAAAUCCUACAAAUACCGAUACAACCACUUUCAAAACCCGGUGUCACCGAGUACAUGAGCAUUUAUAUAUUACAAGUCUGGAAAAUACGGUCUAUAAUAAACUGAGACCAAAUGCAAUACAUAAAAAAAAUAGGGAAUGAGAGACAGGGUCUGCGAAACAUGGCAGCUACCUCUGAAUCUCCGAAAAAUCGACUGUGUGAAAGGAUCAACACCCACUGUAUCCGGGAUCACCUGGAUCUGCACACGAAGUGCAGGGUGUAGUAUGAGUACAACCAACUCAGUAAGUAACAAUAAUAACUAAGGAACUGAAGAUAAUGACGAGCUACACAGUUAUAGGUCACUUUUAGUAAUUCCCGCAAAGAAUAGACAUGCUUUCAAAACCGGCAGUUUAAGUCAAAUUAAUUUUAUACAGUUCAAGUUCAUGUAAUCCGGAUAUAAAAUCUUUCAGAGAUUUCACAACAAUGACAUAUAGCAAUCAAGUGCAACAACAAAUGCAAAGCAAGUACAGCCUCUCAGGCAACAGUCACUCAACUCAUCACUCGGCUCUCAGCCCUCAGCACUCAUACUCAAUAGGUACCCACGCUCACUGGGGGUGUACAGACUCCGGAGGAGCUCCUACACCCAAGCGNNNNNNNNNNNNNNNNNNNNNNNNNCACGGACAACUCACGUGCCAUAAUAUCCUUACCUCACUGACAGGCCCUCAGCCUUACUCAGUUUUCAACCUCUCUAGUCUCUCGGGCUCUCAGAAAUCACAAAGAUCAACCCAAACAAAGAUAACAUAGUGUAUCAACAAAUAUCCAGAAAAGACUGAGGUAUAAUACGCAAGCAAAAUCAUGAUUUAGUACAAGACAACAAUUAGCAAAUAAUUCAACAAGUACGUGACCUUGGUGGGUUCCAACAGUACUAUCACAUAGCCUAAGCAUGAUUUCUAACAUGAUUUAUAGUCAAAUUUCUUCAACACAUAGAGAGCAUAUAGCUAACAAUAAAUUAUUCAACUUUGCAGUUUCACGGGACGGACCAGGUCACAAUCCCCUCGGUGCACGCUCACACGUUCGUCACCUAGCAUGUGCGUCACUUCCAAAAUAAUCACAUGACACAAACUUCCGUGGUUUCAUACCCUCAGGACCAGAUUUAAAAUUGUUACUUACCUCAAAGCGUGAAAUUCUUUACUCUGUUAUGCCUUUGCUCGCAAAUCGGCCUCCGAAUGCCUCGAAUCUAGUAACAAAUAAUUCGUUUCAGUCAAUAAAAUUUAUAGGAAUUAAUUCCAUAAAAAAUACAAAUUUUACAUAAAAAUCCGAAUUUUAGCACAAAAAUCGCUUGUGGGGCCCAUGUCUCGGAACUCGACAAAAGUUACAAAAUCCGGAAGCUCAUUCAACCACUAGUCUAACCAUACCAAUUUUAUCAAAAUCCGACCCCAACUCAACCCUCAAAUCUUCAAUUUAAACUAAGAGGGUUUUCAAACUUUUCCAACUUAAUUCACCAAUUAAAUGAUAAAAACAACCAUGGAUUCGGGUAAUUGAACCAAUAUUGAGUUAAGAACACUUACCUCGUUGUUUUCCUUGAGAAGCUCCCGAAAAUCGCCUCUUCCCGAGCUCAAAUCCGUCAAAAACUGAAAAUGGGACUAAGUCCCAUUUAUAGAACUUAAAACUCUCUGCCCAGACAUAUGCUCUACGCGAUCGCGAACAUUCCCACACGAUCGCGAAGAACAAUUUUUCCAUCGCCCAGAUUUUACUCUACGCGAUCGCGGACUUUCCCACGCGAUCGCGAAGCACAACAUCACAGACCUACGCGAUCGUUGACUCGUCCACGCGAUCGCGAAGCACAAAACGCGUGACUUCUAUUUUCGCUCCACUUACUCUACGCGAAUGCAACCUUCUUCACGCGUUCGCGAGUCACAAAAUCCCAGAGCUACGCGAUCGUGAAGCACACAAUGCCACUGCCUCUCAUUAACGUGGGGGCUUAGUUGGUCAGUGGGGGUUUUUGUUCUACGUGAUCACAGAUAUCCCCACACAAUCACGUAGAACAAAAAUCCCCACUGACCAAAUAAGCCUACGCGAUCGCAGACGCAUUCACGCGAUCGCGUAGAAGGAAAACAUCAGUAGAUAUUAGAAAAUUCCAGCAGUUGUUCAAGUCCAAAUUUUUGAUCCGUUAACCAUCCAAAACUCACCCGAGUCCCUCGAGACCUCAACCAAAUAUAUCAACAAGUCCUAAAACAUCAUACGGACUUAGUCGAACCCUGAAAUCACCUCAAACAACGCUAAAAUCAUGAAUUACACCCCAAUUCAAGCCUAAUGAACUUUGAAAUUUCUAAUUUCUACAAACGACUCCGGAACCUAUCAAAUCACGUCCGAUUUACCUCAAAUUUUACGCACAAGUCAUAAAUGACAUAACGGACCUCUUAAAUUUUCAUAAUGAGAUUUCGACCCCGAUAUCAAAAAGUCAAUUCCCCCUCCCCCCCCCCCUCCCCGGUCAAACUUCCCAAAAAUUCGACUUUCGCCAUUUCAAGCCUAAUUUUACUACGGACCUCCAAAUAAUUUUUCGGGCACGCUCCUAAGUCCAAAAUCACCAUACGGAUCUAUUGGAAUCAUCAAGAUUCGAAUCCGAGGUCGUUUACACAUACUCGACAUCCGAUCGACUUUUCCAACUUAAGCUUUUAAUUAUGAGACUAAGUGUCUCAUUUCACUCCGAAAUCCUUCCGGACCCGAACCAACUAACCUGAUAAGUCAUAAAUCAACUGUAAGGCAUAAAUUGAGCAGUAAAUUGUGGAACGGGGCUAUGAUACUCAAAACAACCGGUCGGGUCGUUACUGACGGUUCCAUGAUGACAUUCUAUUAUGAUCAACCCUGAUGGCGGUUGGUUUUCCUUAUAAAUACUUCGGCAAGCUUGAUUUUUGAAAAUCUCUUACUUCUUCUUUGCAUUCAUCUCCCUAACCUUUCCUCGUAUUUCUUCAUCUUUUUUCUGUAUUUUCCUUUGUUAAAGAUGUCUUCUUCAACACCAGACCCUUGUAAAGUGGUGAUUGUUGAUGAACUUACUCCUUCGACUGCACCUACUAGGAGUAGGAGAGGUGGCAGACUCUGUAGUCUAGGUUCAUUAUCUACUCGUAGUUCUACUUCCCAAAGUAGUACUAUCAAGCCAUCUUCUUCUAGGGAAAAAGCUCUAUUGACCCAUAGAUCUUCUUCUAAGGGAAGGGAUCAGAACGAACCCAAACGUUAGCCUACAGUUUCUGAAAUUGUCCCUUAAGAGUUUUCUUUCGUAUCAGACCGCGAAACUAUGAAAAAGCGAGUUUCUUCUAUAGCAUCUCUUAACCCUGCUGAACAUUACCCAAGUCUAAUCACUCCAGGACUUCUUUCUUUAGUUCGACGUGAAUGCCAUUGGAAACCAGAUUUUCUAGUUUUGAUUCCUAGUGCCAAUCAAAUAAUCACUUCUUACCAUACUGGCUUUUCUAUUGUUUACACUUAUCCUUUCACUUUAGGGUUUAAACCUCCCAUUGACCUAGUGAUUAUUGAGUUCUGUCUCUAUUUCAGUGUUUGCCUCGGUCAAAUCGGUCCCAUCGUGCAGAGGGAAGUUGCUUGCCUUCGCUACUUGCUUCACCUUUAUUCUCCAAAAUUGUUUCGUAAAGGUGUCUUUUCUCUCGUGGCUAGAAGUAAAAGGGUUUUAGUCAGCCCCGAGGAUGACCUUGGCCGUGACUGGUAUGCCCGAUUUUUCGUUGCCCCCGCUCGUGGAUUAGUGAGUGAUGAAUACAUUCCUUUUCUUGAAAAUAUGGAACUUGAACGUAAGUGUUUUUUUUUUCUUUUACUUUCUUUGAUGCUUGAGUUUCUUUACAUGAACGUAUAUUCAUUUUUUCAGCAACCAGGGAAGUUUUUGAAGAAAAUCCUGAUUUUUGUGCUUGGGUAGAAAAAAUAAUGAUUGUUGCUCCCAUGGAUAAAAGAUCUCAAAAAUUUCUUUCAUAAAAAUUCGGAUGGAAAGUGAAGACUCACGAUACCUUUUUAUUCCCAUGGUUUCCUUCCUCUUUGCUUGUUCCUUUCUUUUAAUGUACAUAACUUUUUUCCCUUUUUUAUUAGGGUUUGCCAUUCGCGGCAUCAGCCCCGCAUAUGUUCCCUCAGUGAGGCUUUCUAUAAGCUCUGCACAAGAGCAGAUUUUGAGCGUAUCUUCCUCCAAGAGGAAAACUGUUGAAGCCCGUAGGUCUGAAGAUGAAGAGGAUACCGAAGAAAGUUCCUGGGUGAGGAAACCGCGUGUCAGAAGGCGCAUGGUUUCGGAUGAUGAAACCCAUGUCUCUCAACAUCCCCCUUCAAGUUCAAUUCCUUUUAGUCUCGUCGAUAAGCUAGAGAAUGUCCCUUUGUAUAUCUCUUAUGAUGAUGUUGGUAACUUUGACAACCCUCCAUCAAGUCCUGUUGAAAGGUUAUUUGCUCAUGGCUUUGAGGGUAAAGAAGAAUUCGGGCAUGUUUCUCAAGAGCUGCCACUUGCCUCUCUUCCAAUGUCGUCAGUUACACCUAUUGUUAAUCCCCCGAUUUCUUUGCCUAUAGUUACCCCAGUGGUUGCCCCCGUUGUUGCCCCUCGUCAAGAAGUUGAGCCUUCUAGCAGCAGGCGGGGUAUGAAAAAAGUUUUGAUUGAAGUACCCGAUAGUGGAAAUUUAUUGAAAAAAUCUAGUCAAGUUGUUGUGUCGCUAAAACCAUUGCUAGGACCUGUGGAAAGAAAAAAAGCUAGAGGGUCACAGUUCUUUGACCUUGAUGAAUGACAUCAUUCACUCUUCCCUUAAGGUAUAUCUUUACUUAUUUUCCUUUCCUUAUCUUCUCAUUCAUAACUCCUCUUCUUUUGACUUUAUGUAGAUCAAUUUGACAAGUACGGAGCUUAUGAGAAGGAUUUCUUGGACAGAUUAGCAGGUGAUUGAGUUGCGCAUUGAGGCUGAUAAUUGGAAAGAACAAUUUGAAGGCCUUCAACUGGAGAAAGACGUUUGCUGAGGAGAAAGGAGCUUUGGAACAACAACUGAGGAUGAUCGCCGAUGAACAGGAGGUUUUAAAAGCUUCUUCAAAUGAAGUUGAGAAAGACAAGGACAAAUUGGAAUCCUCCUUUGCUGAACAACAUUCCAAGGCAACUGAAGAGAUAAGGAGUUUGAAAGAGCUCCUUAAUCAGAAAGAGAUGUACGCGGGUGAUCUGGUACAGAUGCUUACCCAGGCUCAAGAAGACCUCUACGCCUCUACAGACAAGGUUCAGUUCCUUGAGAGUUCUCUUACUCCUUUGAAGUCGGCUUAUGAAGCCUUAGAAGCAGAAAAAGAAUAUUUGAAAGCUGAGAUUGAGCAGUGGGAGAAGGAUUACGAAACCAUUGAAGACAAGUCAACACUUGAUGUUAGCUGGGCUUUUUUGAACACUCGCUUCGAGACUCUAACUCAAGCUAUCCAGGAGGGUUUUGACCUUAAUGCUGAGAUUGCAAAGGUUAAAGAGACGAUUGAACAGACUCAGCAGCGUCAAAGCUUCUCUACACCCGAGGACGAAGGUUCCAAGGGUGAUGGUGAUGGACUUACUCCUGGUGAAGCUGAUGUUCAACCCUCAUCUUCUCAAGUUAAUCCUUCUUCUUCCAUGGAUAAUGAUCCUUAGUUCUUCCCCUCUUGACUUUUUUUGAAAUAGUUUAUUUUUGGUUUAUGUUGGAAUUCUCUUGUGUUUUGGAUAAUUUUUGGAAGAUUUUUCGCCCCUGUUUUUUGGCUGAUGAUAUAAAUAUCUUUUGGAUUUUACUGCAUAUUAUACUUUCUGCUCUUUGAUUUAUUUAUUUUUUGAGAUUAUACUUGCAUUUAAAAUGCUUUAGUAAACCGUGACUCUAAUAUGCACGGGUUUUUAUAAAAGAUGGCCCUUUUAUAUUAACAACACUGAUGAAGAUGACGUCUCAUUUUCAUAUUGGUGCAAAGAUAUGAAACAUAAGUAGAUAUGAAGUAAUUUGAGGUUAUUUUAUUUUUUGAACUUUCAAAUAAAUAAGUUUAUACAACUUUUUCAUAACUGCUAUUUUUGUUGCAGGUUUAUAAAUUCGGGUAUAUCUUCCCGUGACUAAAUUUAUGGCCUUAAGCUAGAAGCUCGUGGGAAUAUCCUGCAUCCUUUUUGCGAGUUUGAAUUCCUUUGAAAAAAAGAAUUUUCUUCAAGGGUUUCUUCAAGGUUUUGAUUCUGGCUGAACUAUGCUCUUGGUAUAUAUCUUCUUUCCUUGUGUAUCCUUCUAUAUGCAUAGUCCCCCUAGUGUUAGAGCAUUGAAGCAUGAGAUCUCGAACACUGAAUCAACUCCUAACUUUUGGUCAUUUCCCUAAUACAUACGGGACUCGGAGAUAAUCUUUUAUAUGAUGACUGCAUAACCUUUUUGCCAUCAGAAAUGUUGUAACUUAGACCGGAAAUAAUUUAGUAUUUCGCGUGUCUUUCGGGUCUAAUAUCAUCAUUUGGUACGUGCCAUCUUUUUGCCUAUCAUCUAAAAUAGUUAGUAAAAUUCAAAUGAACAAAAUAAAAUCGAACUUGCUUGAUACCUGACCGUAGGUAUUAACCUCUUUUAGAAGUAAUACUUCUUCAAAUGGACCGCAUUCCAAUGUGAUGGUAACACCUUGCCACCCAUGGUUUCCAACUCGUAUGCUCCUUUUUCCAUCAAUGCCUUUAACCCUAUGCGGGCCUUCCCAAUUUGGACUCAACUUUCCUGCGUUUGUCGUUUUUGUUGACCGGAACACCUUUUGGAGGACGAAGUCCCCAAUCUUGAAGUACCUCAAGUUAGCCUUCAUGUUAUAGUAUCGUUCAAUCAUUUGCUUUUGAGCUGCCAUCCGAAUUAAUGUUGCUUCCCUCCUUUCUUCUGUCAAAUCCAAAUUUACUCGUAACUCUUCCUCAUUUGUUGCUUCAGUAGUAUGUGUGUACCUCGUGUUUGGUUCACCUAUCUCCGCCAGAAUUAAAGCUUUCGUUCCGUAUACAAGUGAAAAUGGGGUCUCGCCCGUACUAGUUUUCGUCGUUAUUCGGUAAGCCUAUAGCUCACCUGGUAGUACUUCUUGCCAUUUACCUUUUGAUUCUUCCAAUCAUUUUUUUAAUUUGUUUAUGAUAACCUUAUUUGUCGACUCAGCUUGCCCGUUAGCCACUGGGUGGUAAGGUGCAGAAGUGAUUCAUUUAAUUUGCCAGCUUUAGAAGAAAUCGGUGACUUUCGCACCUAUGAAUUGUGGGCCAUUGUCACAGACGAUCUCCUUUGGGACUCCAAAUCGACGUAUAAUAUUUCUCUAAAUGAAAUCCAUAACUUCCUUUUAUCGCACAUGUUUAAAGGCACCUGCUUCUAUCCAUUUUGAGAAAUAAUCUGUUGGAACUAACAAGAAUUGUACCUUCCCUUAGCUUGAGGCAAAGGCCCUACGAUGUCCAUCCCUCAUUUCAUGAAAGGCCAUGGUGAUAUGACUGAAUGCAAUAGUUCCGUCGGUCGAUGCAUAUUAUUGGUAUACCGUUGGCAUUUAUCGCACCUUGCUACGAAGUUUUCUGCUUCUUUCAUUUUUGGUCAAUAAUAUCCUGCCCUUAUUAAUGUCUUCACCAAUGAUCCUCCCCUCACAUGAUUGCCACAAUGGCCCCUAUGUACUUCUCUCAUUACAUACUCCAUCUCUCAUUACAUACUCCGUUUGUGAUGGUCCAAAGCAUCGUGCUAAAGGUCCACUAAAUAUUUUGCGAUAUAAAUUUCCGUGAAUUAAGCAAUAUUGUGCAGCUUUCAACCGUAACAAUUGGGAUUUCUUCUUAUCCUCAGGAAAAAUAUCAUAAUAUAAAAGGUUCAAAAAUUCGUCUCUCCAAUCCCAAGUUAAAUUAUUAAAAUUUACCUCACUCUUGGUUUGGCCGAGUAUUGAAUGAAACAAAUAUAUCACAACAGCAUUUUCUGCAUUUGUUGCAUCAGCGAUAGACGGGAGAUUUGCCAACGUGUCUGCUUCUGCAUUUUCCUCCUUAGGUUUUUGCACAGCUUUCCAUGUCUGAAAUUGUCUAAGCAAUUCUCGUACCUUUUCGAGGUAUUGCUGCAUUAGUGUCUUUCUUGCCACGUAAGUCCCCUGCAUUUUAUUGACUACCAGUUGUGAGUCACUUUUGAUAAUAAUUUGUUCAAUACCAAGCUCUCAUGCAAGUUCCAGGCCUGCAAUCAAAGCUUCAUACUCUGCCUCAUUGUUAGUAAUUGGGUAACAUUUUACUGCAUGUCUUAUGACUUCUCCCGAGGGUGGAAUUAAAAUAAUCCCCAAACCUGCUCCUUUAACAUUUGAAGAACCGUUAGUAAAUAGGGUAUGAGUCCCCGGAUUAGCUCCGGUAUAUAUUUGUAGCUCUUUUUCUGCUUCAGGAACUAGGUUCGGGCUAAAAUCUGCUAACACCUGCGAUUUUAUAGCGGUUCUAGGAUGAUAUAUAAUAUCAUAUUCACUGAGUUCUAUUGCCCAUUUAGCUAACCUACCUAAUAGUUCAUGUUUAUGCAAUAUGUUCCUUAGUGGGAAAGCAGUUAUAACAGACAUAGGAUGACGUUGAAAGUAAGGUCAUAACUUUCUUGAUGCCAUAAUUAAAACAAAGCAAGUUUUUCUAGGUGAGGAUACCGUAUCUCAGUGUCUACUAAAGACUUACUAACAUAAUAAAUUGGAGAUUGUUUAUCUUUAUCUUCACGUACCAAUGCCGCGCUUACCGCUACUUCUGAUACAGCAAGGUAAAUCUGCAACCUCUCUCCGUCUUUUGGUUUUACUAACAAAGAUGGAUUUGAUAGAUACGUCUUUAAGUCCUUCAGAGCUUGUUGACACUUGUCAGUCCACUCAAACUAAUUUUGCUUUUUCAGUACUGAGAAGAAUUUAAAGCAUUUUUCUAAUGACUUUGAUAUAAACCUUCCUAGAGCUGUUAUUCUGCAUGUUAAUCUUUGCACUUCUUUAUUGCUCGUGAGUAUAUCUGGUAUUUCCUCAAUAGCUUUGAUCUGUGCGGCAUUUACUUCAAUACCCCUGUUAGAAAUAAGAAAACCUAAAAACUUACAUGAAGCCACGCCAAAAGCGCACUUUUCCGGAUUUAACUUCAUGUUGUACUUGCGGAGAAUUUCAAAGGUCUUAGACAAAUGCUGUAAAUGAUCCCCUGCAUGUGUUGACUUGACCAACAUAUCAUCUACGUAGACUUCCAUAGUUUUUCCCAUGUGCUCCUGAAACAUUUUGGUCACCAAUCUUUAAUAUGUGGCUCCAACAUUUUUCAAACUGAAUGGCAUGACUUUGUAGCAAUAAGUCCCCCUGUCUACGAUAAACGAAAUUUUCUCCCCAUCCAGAGGGUCCAUUUUUAUCUGGUUAUAACCAGAAUAUGCAUCUAAAAAAUUUAAAAGCUCAUAACCUGCGGUAGAAUCAAUUAAUUGAUCUAUGUGUGGCAAAGGGAAUGAAUCUUUAGGGCGAGAUUUAUUUAAAUCAGUAUAAUCAACACAGACUCGCCAUUUUCCAUUCUUUUUUGGAACCACGACAGUAUUAGCUAACCAGUCAGGGUACUUUACCACUCGUAUUGAACCAAUUUUCAAACAUUUUGUACCUCAUCCUGGAUUACUUGAUUUUUUAAGGCCCCUUGCUUCCUUUUCUUCUGCUUGACAGGUGGGUGUAAUGGAUCCCCAUUUACUUAUGAGUCACCACCAAACCUGUCAUAUUUGAAUGCGACCAAGCAAAGCAAUAUGCUUUUCAAUUAACUUACCUUUCAUCUCUUGGCUCAAAUUUGCUCCGAUGUAAACUUUUCUGUAUGGCCAAUGGACAAAUAAUAUUAUAGAUUCGAGCUCCUCCGUGAUUGUUUUAAUGUUCUCAUCUUCCUCUGGAUCUGUGUGUUUUCAGUUGAGGUAUGAACAAAAGUGUCCUCAACUGAAUUCUUUAAUUGCUAUUUCGUAUCUGCAUCGUUGGCUGUUGUGUUGGAAAUCGCCACCAAAUUAAUAUUUCGUGAAGCUUGCUGAUCUCCGCGUAUGUCGGAUUUUUCACUGUGAAGGGAAUUUGAUAAUUUGAUGCAACAUGGACGGGACAACAUCCAUAUUAUGAAUCUAUGGCCUUCCCAAGAUUAUAUUGUAGGCCAUGUCCUCGUCUAUUACCUAGAACUUUGUAUCUUUGAUGACUCUUUCUGCAAACAUGGCCAAUACAAUUUCUCCUUUAGUUACAACGCUUAAAUUAUAAGUUGUUUCUUCUUCUUUCAUUUUCCAAGACGCCACAAUUGACAAUAGGAUAAGAUCAACACACACUUAAUUCAGUGUAAACGCUGACGAUAUAUAUUAAGUGUGAAUUCAAAGAGGAAGUACUUAAGAUAUUGUGAAUCCAAGAAGAAAUACAUACCAAUAGAUACGUAACAUGCAAUCUCCAACCAGUGGCGGAGCCACAUUCAACUUCGCCAGAAAAUUACACCAUAUUGCUAGAUAAUGUUUUUUGUUUUAUGUAUAUUUACUAUAUGUUGACUCCCUUUAACUUUUCGGCAUAUCAAAUUUUUUUAUAUUUUUACACCUCUUGGUGAAAAUUCUGGCUCCGCCAAGGUCUCCAAUGAGUCUUUCUUAUGCAGUCUUGAAUUAUUGUUGGUUGAUUCCACACUUUUUUGUGGUCAUUGUUACCUUCUAAACUCACGAGUGUGGACUAACAGAUAUUCAUCCUCGAUCUUAUGGAAGAUUGCUAUUAUUAAAAGACCACUUAGCUUAACUGAUAGAAAAUAAGUUAUAAGCAUCAAAUACAUAAAAGAAUGCAUGUUGAUUGUGUUUUUUUAUAAAUAAGCAUUAGGUGUUUAUUUGGUUUGUACCUCAAGCUUCAAGAACACAUGGCUUGCCUUCAACCAGCUUCAUUAUAUAGAAGCCCAAAGCUUCAAACAUAUCCAUAGCCUUGUCCAUCCUUUCGUUUAAUCCUUUGGAUUUCUUAAGAUAAAUCUUGAUUAAAGUUAAAGAAAGAAUCAACGCGCUUUU
rnacentral:lncRNA from 1 species